rnacentral:ribozyme from 1 species
UGCCGAGCAACUCCUAUCCCUACCUCCUCGCGGUACAAACGGGGUACGAGUUAUCUUAGGGGAGAUCGGGUAACCAACCCCGGCGGGAACUCUGGUCGUAUGUUGACAGGGAAGG